AUUGAACGCUGGCGGCAUGCUUUACACAUGCAAGUCGAACGGCAGCGCGGGCUUCGGCCUGGCGGCGAGUGGCGAACGGGUGAGUAAUACAUCGGAACGUGCCCAGUAGUGGGGGAUAGCUCGGCGAAAGCCGGAUUAAUACCGCAUACGACCUGAGGGUGAAAGCGGGGGAUCUUCGGACCUCGCGCUCUUGGAGCGGCCGAUGGCAGAUUAGCUAGUUGGUGGGGUAAAGGCCUACCAAGGCGACGAUCUGUAGCUGGUCUGAGAGGACGACCAGCCACACUGGGACUGAGGCACGGCCCAGACUCCUACGGGAGGCAGCAGUGGGGAAUUUUGGACAAUGGGCGAAAGCCUGAUCCAGCAAUGCCGCGUGUGUGAUGAAGGCCUUCGGGUUGUAAAGCACUUUUGGCGGGAACGAAAAGGACUGUGCCAAUACCACGGUUCGAUGACGGUACCCGCAGAAUAAGCACCGGCUAACUACGUG
rnacentral:rRNA from 1 species